CUGCUGUUCGAAAUGAAGACAAAAUUAACCUUGACAUUCCCGCUACUUUUUCCGGGUUUCACUGGAGUAUAAAAAGGGGGAGGUUCGGACUGUCCAGGUAUAUUUGUUUAUCUCCAGCAGUGAGUUUAGCAAUCUAUCAUUCAAAAUGAACUUUUUGCUCUUCACCCUUCUUGUCAUCUUCGCCAUUGUGGCAGCCACCAUGGCUCAAGUGGUUUACCACGGCUCCUACUUGAACCCUGUCGUGUACCCAUAUGCCUACAACUACGGUGUAGCCCCUCUGACUUAUUUGUGGAAGAAAUGAAUGUAAGGUAGCAGAUAACUUUCCGACAGGUUGUUGACCAAGAUUCGAUUGAAAUGGAGCUUUGGAAAAUUCUAAUCAUUUCUAUUUCCCUGUGAUCUAUUCGAAUUCUUUGUUCUCUUUCCUGAAUUGUUGAUUUUUACCUGUCAAUAAAAUUUUUAAAGGCAUUA